GGAAGGAGGGGUCUUAUAAACCACCUGGAAAACGUACAAAUUCCACAAAGUUCCCAAAAACGACGGGCAAAUAUAUCCAGGAAAAAAGUACGUUGAAAUCUGAAGAUACCUAUGAGACCAUCCCGGCUGAUUCUCACUGGACGAACUGUCACCGGGAGAAACUCAAGCCUCCUCAUGCUGAUACAGCCUUGUCAUCAUGCAUAUGAGGGCCUGAAAUCGGAGACCAACAUGAAGACCAUCGUAAAAUAGACCCAGCAGAUGAUGUUCUUCCAGAGUCAGCUGAGGAAGCUCAACCUACCACUCUACAGAUUCGUUUCCACAAAAGUCACCAUGUCUGAGAGCACGUCUGCUCUCAGUUUGUCUAUCACAGUCAGGUUUACAUCAAGCACUACAGAAGACAGUGAUGGGUUACGUUAAUAGUCAGGUCUGCAGAAAGGGUUAAUGGAGUUUCUGUCCACCCCUCCAGACAGAGAAAAUCAUUAGGGAUCCCUCGCACCUGGGCCACAACCUCUUUGACCUUCUCCCCUCUGGCAGGCGUUGCAGAUUACUGUGCUCCAAAACAAACAGAAACAUGCACAGUUUCUUCCCACAAGUCAUCGUUCUCAUGAAGAAAUGACCCGGAUGCCUCAGCUCAGUUGCACAGUAACCCCCCCCACAACCAGCCAAU